UGCCAGCCGCCGCGGUAAUACGUAGGGAGCGAGCGUUAUCCGGAAUUAUUGGGCGUAAAGCGUGCGUAGGCGGUUCGUUAAGUCAAAUCUGAAAGCCCACAGCUUAACUGUGGAGGGUGAUUUGAUACUGGAAGACUUGAGGUCGGUAGAGGUAGCAGGAAUUCCCGGUGUAGUAGUGAAAUGCGUUAAUAUCGGGAAGAACGCCAUUUGUGAAGACUUGCUACUGGGCCGCACCUGACGACCACUGACGAAAGCAUGGGUAGCGAACGGGAUUAGAUA
rnacentral:rRNA from 1 species